rnacentral:rRNA from 1 species
GCAAUCAGCAGUGGAGCUUCAUAGGCGGAGGAGCAUAUCAAUAAGCGGAGGAACAUAUGUAUCAGCGGAGGAGCCUUUCAAGGAGGCCAGGAGCUCUCAGCCCCGGGCACGAGCCCGCCGGAGACACCACGAACUCUGUCUGAUCUAGUGAAGUCUGAGUUGAUUGUAUCGCAAUCAGUUAAAACUUUCAACAAUGGAUCUCUUGGUUCCGGCAUCGAUGAAGAACGCAGCGAAAUGCGAUAACUAGUGUGAAUUGCAGAAUUCCGUGAAUCAUCGAGUCUUUGAACGCACAUUGCGCCCCCUGGUAUUCCGGGGGGCAUGCCUGUCCGAGCGUCAUUGCUGCCCAUCAAGCACGGCUUGUGUGUUGGGUCGUCGUCCCCUCUCCGGGGGGGACGGGCCCCAAAGGCAGCGGCGGCACCGCGUCCGAUCCUCGAGCGUAUGGGGCUUUGUCACCCGCUCUGUAGGCCCGGCCGGCGCUUGCCGAACGCAAAUCAAUCUUUUUCCAGGUUGACCUCGGAUCAGGUAGGGAUACCCGCUGAA